rnacentral:rRNA from 1 species
GUUGUAUGGUUAAGUGACUAAGCGUACACGGUGGAUGCCUGGGCAGUCAGAGGCGAUGAAGGACGUACUAACUUGCGAUAAGCGCAGAUAAGGCAGUAAGAGCCGUUUGAGUCUGCGAUUUCCGAAUGGGGAAACCCAACUGCAUAAGCAGUUACUGUUAACUGAAUACAUAGGUUAACAGAGCAAACCGGGGGAACUGAAACAUCUAAGUACCCCGAGGAGAAGAAAUCAACCGAGAUUCCGGUAGUAGCGGCGAGCGAACCUGGAUUAGCCCUUAAGCACUCGGUGAAGUAGGUGAACAAGCUGGAAAGCUUGGCGAUACAGGGUGAUAGCCCCGUAACCGACGCUUCAUCGAGCGUGAAAUCGAGUAGGGCGGGACACGUGAUAUCCUGUCUGAAUAUGGGGGGACCAUCCUCCAAGGCUAAAUACUCCUGACUGACCGAUAGUGAACCAGUACCGUGAGGGAAAGGCGAAAAGAACCCCUGUGAGGGGAGUGAAAUAGAACCUGAAACCGUGUACGUACAAGCAGUAGGAGCACCUUCGUGGUGUGACUGCGUACCUUUUGUAUAAUGGGUCAGCGACUU